rnacentral:rRNA from 1 species
GUGGGGAAUAUUGGACAAUGGGCGCAAGCCUGAUCCAGCAAUGCCGCGUGAGUGAUGAAGGCCUUAGGGUUGUAAAGCUCUUUUACCCGGGAAGAUAAUGACUGUACCGGGAGAAUAAGCCCCGGCUAACUCCGUGCCAGCAGCCGCGGUAAUACGGAGGGGGCUAGCGUUGUUCGGAAUUACUGGGCGUAAAGCGCACGUAGGCGGCUUGGUAAGUUAGGGGUGAAAGCCUGGAGCUCAACUCCAGAAUUGCCUUUAAGACUGCCGAGCUAGCAGGUGAGAGAGGUGAGUGGAAUUCCGAGUGUAGAGGUGAAAUUCGUAGAUAUUCGGAAGAACACCAGUGGCGAAGGCGGCUCACUGGCUCAUACUGGACGCUGAGGUGCGAAAGCGUGGGGAGCAAACAGGAUUAGAUACCCUUGUAGUCC